GCGGAAGGCUGGGUGACCGCUUUGAUGUUGUAAGGCAUCGGGGAGGAAAGUCCGGACUCCGGAAAGAAAUGGUGCCGGGUAACGCCCGGGCGGGGUAACCCGACGGAAAGCGCCACAGAAAAUAGACCGCCUGUCACUCCAAGGCUUGCUUUGGGUCAGUGUCAGGUAAGGGUGAAACGGUGGGGUAAGAGCCCACCGCGCGGCUGGCAACAGCGGCGGCAUGGCAAGCCCCACUGGGAGCAACGCCAAAUAGGGACCGCGUGCUUCCACGCCUUCGGGUAUGGCGGCGGAGCUUCUUUCGCUCCAGCAGGUCCGGGUUGGCGGCUGUAGCUGUGUCGGUAACGGCAUGGUCAGAGGAAUGGUCAUCCAAGAUGGCCGCGCAAGCGGUUCAUCUGGACAAAAUCCGGCUUAUAGGCCCUCCGCGCAA
rnacentral:RNase_P_RNA from 1 species